rnacentral:rRNA from 1 species
CCUACGGGAGGCAGCAGUGGGGAAUAUUGGACAAUGGGCGCAAGCCUGAUCCAGCCAUGCCGCGUGAGUGAUGAAGGCCUUAGGGUUGUAAAGCUCUUUCAGUAGGGACGAUAAUGACGGUACCUACAGAAGAAGCCCCGGCUAACUUCGUGCCAGCAGCCGCGGUAAUACGAAGGGGGCUAGCGUUGUUCGGAUUUACUGGGCGUAAAGCGCACGUAGGCGGAUCGUUAAGUCGGGGGUGAAAUCCUGGAGCUCAACUCCAGAACUGCCUUCGAUACUGGCGAUCUUGAGUCCGGAAGAGGUGAGUGGAACUCCUAGUGUAGAGGUGGAAUUCGUAGAUAUUAGGAAGAACACCAGUGGCGGAGGCGGCUCACUGGUCCGGUACUGACGCUGAGGUGCGAAGGCGUGGGGAGCAAACAGGAUUAGAUACCCUGGUAGUCCACGCCGUAAACUAUGAGAGCUAGCCGUUGGGAGAUUUAUCUCUCAGUGGCGCAGCUACGACAUAAGUCUCUCCGCCGUCGGGAGGUACGGUCGCGAGAUAAACUACAAGAAGUAGACGCGNGAGACGUGCCGACGACGACGACGAGGGAGUAGG